rnacentral:rRNA from 1 species
GAUGAACGCUGGCGGCGUGCCUAAUACAUGCAAGUCGAGCGAACGGACGAGAAGCUUGCUUCUCUGAUGUUAGCGGCGGACGGGUGAGUAACACGUGGAUAACCUACCUAUAAGACUGGGAUAACUUCGGGAAACCGGAGCUAAUACCGGAUAAUAUUUUGAACCGCAUGGUUCAAAAGUGAAAGACGGUCUUGCUGUCACUUAUAGAUGGAUCCGCGCUGCAUUAGCUAGUUGGUAAGGUAACGGCUUACCAAGGCAACGAUGCAUAGCCGACCUGAGAGGGUGAUAGGCCACACUGGAACUGAGACACGGUCCAGACUCCUACGGGAGGCAGCAGUAGGGAAUGUUCCGCAAUGGGCGAAAGCAUGACGGAGCAACGCCGCGUGAGUGAUGAAGGUCUUCGGAUCGUAAAACUCUGUUAUUAGGGAAGAACAUAUGUGUAAGUAGCUGUGCACAUCUUGACGGUACCUAAUCAGAAAGCCACGGCUAACUACGUG